rnacentral:lncRNA from 1 species
CCCCGGCGACGUCGAUGGCGCCCGCGAGCGGCCCGGGCCAGUUGAAGAGGCGGUCGACGAUGUUGGCGGCGGGCCCGAUGAGGCGCGAAUCCAUGCCGCGGGACACGACGUCGAGCAAGGCGGUGUAGAUGGUCUCCGCUGCGUCGAUGGGCUCGUCGACCAGCACCGCCGAGAUCUCGCGGAGCGUCACGCGGGCGGCCUCGCAG